UAGGCACUGUCUACUAGUGACUCUCCAUAAAAGGUGGAGAAACAUGGGGCUAAAUGAUGAUCUUGAAAAGGGCCCUCACUCGUGAGCCUUCGCCAUGUGCCAGUCACUAUGCUGAGCACCUUGCAGGUCUUGCUGUGAUGACUGGAGCUGUGGCAGCCACCUUGUGACCAUGAGGGAAAAGCCAAGAGACUAGUUGAGAAGCCAACUGAGAGUUUUACCGCCAACUGAGAGUUUUACCUCCAUUGAGCUGCUGGAUUUGCCAACUCUAGAACCACUCAUUCUGGGUAUCUCAUUAGGCAAGAUAAUAAAUUUCUCAUUAUUCAAGCUGUUUUCAUUGGUCUUUCUGUUACUCACAGACAAAGCAUGACAAUUGAAGUACUCAGUGAGGAAUGUGGUGAAGUUGCCUGAAGUCACACCCUUGCCAGGAAUAGUGGAAGGCUAUAUGGGCUUUGUGAGCCCACUCCCUCACCAGGGGGCUUUGCCCUUUCCAUCCAGGAGGUUCAAAUCCAGCCUCAAACCUUUCUAGACAAAAUAUCUGUCAAAAGAGUAUGAUAAAACAGAGCAUCUCUGUUUAUUCCUCAAUAAGAGAUAGAGAGAGAGAUGAGGACACUCUACCUAAGGUGUGUGCUGGAGGAAAUGUAACUUCUGUCCUCUAAACAGAAAUAAGCACGAGUCUCUCCCGUAUCCCUGGCAGCCUCCACCUGGGAGCUUUUAUUCCUGCCCAUGUUUGCACUUCAUGGAACCAGGAGUUCC
rnacentral:lncRNA from 10 species